GAUCGAAAGCUCCGGCGCCUAAGGAUGGGUCUGCGGCCUAUCAGGUAGUAGUGGGUGUAGCGUACCUACUAGCCUACGACGGGUACGGGUUGUGAGAGCAAGAGCCCGGAGAUGGAUUCUGAGACACGAAUCCAGGCCCUACGGGGUGCAGCAGGCGCGAAAACUUUACAAUGCUGGAAACAGCGAUAAGGGGACCUCGAGUGCCAGGUUACAAAUCUGGCUGUCGUGAUGCCUAAAAAGCAUUGCAUAGCAAGGGCCGGGCAAGACCGGUGCCAGCCGCCGCGGUAACACCGGCGGCUCGAGUGGUAACCGUUAUUAUUGGGUCUAAAGGGUCUGUAGCCGGCCGGAUAAGUCUCUUGGGAAAUCCAGCAGCUCAACUGUUGGGCUUUCAGGAGAUACUGUCUGGCUCGAGGCCGGGAGAGGUGAGAGGUACUUCAGGGGUAGGGGUGAAAUCUUGUAAUCCUUGAAGGACCACCAGUGGCGAAGGCGUCUCACCAGAACGGACCUGACGGCAAGGGACGAAAGCUAGGGGCACGAACCGGAUUAGAUACCCGGGUAGUCCUAGCCGUAAACGAUACUCGCUAGGUGUCGGCCACGGUGCGACCGUUGUCGGUGCCGUAGGGAAGCCGUGAAGCGAGCCACCUGGGAAGUACGGCCGCAAGGCUGAAACUUAAAGGAAUUGGCGGGGGAGCACCACAACGGGUGGAGCUUGCGGUUUAAUUGGAUUCAACGCCGGA
rnacentral:rRNA from 1 species